rnacentral:rRNA from 1 species
GCCGGAUUUUAUCCUUUUAGAGGAACCUGUCCUGUAAUUGAUAGUCCACGAGGUUGAAGUACUUAUUUUUGUUUUUCAUUUUGUAAAACCUCCGUCAUAAGAGUAUUCUUUUUAGAGUUAAUAUUCUAUUAAUACAAAAUAUAAUAUGUCAGGUCAAGGGCAAUUUAUGAAUAAGUAGAGAUGGGUUACAAUAAAAUUAUUUAUAUGGAUUAUUAUUUUUAAUUGAUAUUAUGAAGGUGGAUUUAAAAGUAAAAUUAUUAUCUUAAUAAUUUGAUUUUGGCUCUAAAAUAUGCACACAUCGCCCGUCGCUCUUAUUUUAAAAUAAGAUAAGUCGUAACAUAGUAGGAGUACCGGAAGGUGUUCCUAG